rnacentral:rRNA from 1 species
UACAGAGGUCCCAAGCGUUGUUCGGAUUCACUGGGCGUAAAGGGUGCGUAGGUGGCCAGGUAAGUUCGGUGUGAAAGCUCGGAGCUUAACUCCGAAAUGUCAUUGAAUACUAUCUGGCUGGAGGGUCGGAGGGGAGACUGGAAUUCUCGGUGUAGCAGUGAAAUGCGUAGAUAUCGAGAGGAACACCAGUGGCGAAGGCGAGUCUCUGGACGACUCCUGACACUGAGGCACGAAAGCCAGGGGAGCAAACGGG